AUUGAACGCUGGCUGCAGGCCUAACACAUGCAAGUCGAACGAGUGGCGGACGGGUGAGUAAUGUCUGGGACACUGCCUGAUGGAGGGGGAUAACUACUGGAAACGGUAGCUAAUACCGCAUACCAUCAGAUUUGCCCAGAUGGGAUUAGCUUGUUGGUGGGGUAACGGCUCCCCAAGGCCACUAUCCCUCGCUGGUCUGAGAGGAUGACCAGCCACACGGGAACUGAGACACGGUCCAGACGCCUACGGGAGGCAGCAGUGGGGAAUAUUGCACAAUGGGCGAAAGCCUGAUGCAGCCAUGCCGCGUGUAUGAAGAAGGCCUUCGGGUUGUAAAGGACUUUCAGCGGGGAGGCGUUACCCGCAGAAGAAGCACCGGCUAACUCCGUGCCAGCAGCCGCGGUAAUUC
rnacentral:rRNA from 1 species